UGGGGAAUUUUGGACAAUGGGCGAAAGCCUGAUCCAGCAAUGCCGCGUGUGUGAAGAAGGCCUUCGGGUUGUAAAGCACUUUUGUCCGGAAAGAAAUCCUUGGCUCUAAUACAGUCGGGGGAUGACGGUACCGGAAGAAUAAGCACCGGCUAACUACGUGCCAGCAGCCGCGGUAAUACGUAGGGUGCAAGCGUUAAUCGGAAUUACUGGGCGUAAAGCGUGCGCAGGCGGUUUGCUAAGACCGAUGUGAAAUCCCCGGGCUCAACCUGGGAACUGCAUUGGUGACUGGCAGGCUAGAGUAUGGCAGAGGGGGGUAGAAUUCCACGUGUAGCAGUGAAAUGCGUAGAGAUGUGGAGGAAUACCGAUGGCGAAGGCAGCCCCCUGGACCAAUACUGACGCUCAUGCACGAAAGCGUGGGGGAGCAAACAGGAUUAGAUACCCUGGUAGUCCACGCCCUAAACGAUGUCAACUAGUUGUUGGGGAUUCAUUUCCUUAGUAACGUAGCUAACGCGUGAAGUUGACCGCCUGGGGAGUACGGUCGCAAGAUU
rnacentral:rRNA from 1 species